UGAGUUUGAUCAUGGCUCAGAUUGAACGCUGGCGGCAGGCCUAACACAUGCAAGUCGAGCGGUAACAGGACUAGCUUGCUAGUUGCUGACGAGCGGCGGACGGGUGCGUAACACGUAGGAAUCUGCCCGGUAGUGGGGGAUAGCCCGGAGAAAUCCGGAUUAAUACCGCAUACGCCUUACGAGGGAAAGAAGGGGCCUCUUCGGAGCCUUUCGCUAUCGGAUGAGCCUGCGUCGGAUUAGCUAGUUGGUGGGGUAAAGGCCUACCAAGGCGACGAUCCGUAGCUGGUCUGAGAGGAUGAUCAGCCACACUGGGACUGAGACACGGCCCAGACUCCUACGGGAGGCAGCAGUGGGGAAUAUUGCACAAUGGGGGAAACCCUGAUGCAGCCAUGCCGCGUGUGUGAAGAAGGCUCUAGGGUUGUAAAGCACUUUCAGCGAGGAGGAAAGGUUGCUGGUUAAUACCCAGCGGCUGUGACGUUACUCGCAGAAGAAGCACCGGCUAACUCCGUGCCAGCAGCCGCGGUAAUACGGAGGGUGCGAGCGUUAAUCGGAAUUACUGGGCGUAAAGCGUGCGUAGGCG
rnacentral:rRNA from 1 species